rnacentral:lncRNA from 1 species
CAGUACAUGGACAACUCAUCCUGGUAACAUGUCCUGUAGACACCCAGAGGUCAGAACUGCAGUUGGUCAGUUGUCCAUAGAAUUGGGUCCCAAUUGAUGGUAGCAUUUGGGGGCAGCCUAAAGAAUGUGGAAACAGGUGAUGGAGAAUGAAGGGAGCUGAAAUCGUCAUGGAAGCCUUUGUGGGCUUUCAUGUGACAUACACAAAGCUUUGAAGUACGAAUAUGAACGUCUCUGGCGAAGUAGAGGUAAGGCCAUUCCAAGCAAAAGGAUGAGCCAAAAAUCCCAUGACCAUAAAGCAAAGAAUGUAGAGCCAUAAAAUGUGAAAUUGUUCCACAGGUGUGGAGGAGGCGGAGGAUGGGAAACGAGAUGGUUACUGCCUAUCUCAAACAUUUACCAAUCGUUGUAUGAUAGAGGUGAACAAAGGAACGAGAAAGAGAUUUGUGGCCCAGGAAGACAGACAGGAUAAAGUGGGAGUUGGAAGAGCAGACUUACUGGCUGAGCAUCAGACAAAACAAGAGGGACAUUGAGGUUAAAAAAAAAAAGCUUCACAAAUCCUGAGGAAAUCCAGAAGCAACAGCUCCCCCUAGUUCCUGGAGAAGAAGGACAACUCCUUCGAUAACUCAGAGGAUGGAGGGGGACCCCAGAUCUACUCAGCCAGCAGGAGGCUAACCUUAACACCUGGGACUCUCCAGUGCCCAGAGCCAGGGCCUCAAGAAUUUUACCCACGAAAGUCUUAUCUGGGAUCUACAUGUAAUCCAGCCUGACAGGACGGUACCAGGUCCCAGCAUCUCCCCAUGAACUGAUCCCACCUGCGGGUGGCCAGGGACAGACCUUGCAGGUCAGGCAGGAGUGGGUCUACUGUUUCUGCUUCCCAGGCAGACGUGUGUGGAGCAAGACUGUUUAUAGACAACGCCUUGCUGUAGCCAGAGGUGGUGGCUUAGCAGCAGCAGGAACGCCCUCCCUCAUUGCUUCACAAGCUGUAAGUUUCUAAGAUGCGCCCUUGGCCUCAGCGGGCAGAUAAGCACCUGCACUGGAGAGGGAACCCUUGAUCAAGGGCUGAUAAGCUCAGGAAAGGAGAAAAAAAAACCACCCCAAUAACAAGAAAAAGCCGAGGCUCAGUUUCAGCGAACAAUGCGCUGGGGUCGACUGCACAGCUCAGCUUUGGUGAACACUGUUCUGGGAUUGACUGCACAGCUCGACUCCUGUGAACAGUGCUCUGGGGUCAAUUGCACAGUUCAGCUUUGGUAAAGCCUGCUUUGGGAUCGACUGCACAGCUCAGUUUCGGCAAACAAUGCUCUGGGGUCAACUGCACAGCUCAGCGUUGGUGAACAGUGCCCUGGGGUUGACUGCACAGCUCAGCUUUGGUGAACAGUGCUCCUGUGGACCCUAAAUAUCCUGAUUCUUAUCAAGGAUGUGUAGCCGUGUGACUUGGACAGGGCUCCAUACCUCAACUCUCGCUCUCUCUCUGCUCCUUUCAAAUAAACAGCGUGGAAUGCUGGGCUCAGGAUGAUAGGAUGGGACAGGCUUAUUAUGUCAACUUAAAGAAGGUUCGAGGGUUGAGGCCACAGCUGUCUGGUUUCUCCAGGACUCACCCCAAGACAAACACAAGAGUGGGCUUUCAUUUUUCCCUUCUUGUGUCGAAUCAGAAGCGGGCUACCACAUCAUCACCCCAACUCUGAGAAACGAGUUUCACAGAGACAACUCUUCCUGCAGGCCUUCCUUCCCAAGAAGGGGGAAGCACAGAGGAGAGAGUGGAAAAAAAAAGGCAGGAAGGGGGCUCGGCAGCCAGCAGCCCUGGCGCUCGACACUGGAGGCUUAACAUCAAAUGCAGGGAGAAAUCCAUUUCCACGGCGCUAUUGGCCAUCUCGGACGCCUCGUUUCAAAGAGAAAGAUUUGAAUUCAGAGACGGUGCACUCCCUUUGUUCUCUUGCCCUGCAGCCUUUGGUGCCAGUGUGGACGGUACCACAGGGACAGGGUGAGAUCAAACCCCCUCUCCUUCCGUUACCUGCCCCCAGAGCUGGCCCUUGGCAUGCCUAAUGAAAUCAGCUUGACUAUAGGUUGACAAUGCCCUGUCAAUUAUAAUCAUUUAUCUUGGCAAGCAGAGUAUCUGAACACUUGAAAGAGCAGGGGUUCAGCAGACCCAGCAAAACCAGAAUAAAAUUAUACUGCAUGCUAGGAGCAGGCAAGGGAGUGCUUGGCCCUGGGCCGAGGAGCCUUCAGAAGAAGCAAAGAAUGCUGGCAUGCAGACAGGGUGACUGUCCGUCGGUCGGCUCAGGGAACAUCAUUGAAGAGAG